rnacentral:rRNA from 1 species
ACCGAUUAGGUAGUUGUUGGGGUAACGGCCCAACAAGCCUGUAAUCGGUACGGGUUGUGGGAGCAAGAGCCCGGAGAUGGAUUCUGAGACACGAAUCCAGGCCCUACGGGGCGCAGCAGGCGCGAAAACUUUGCAAUGCGGGAAACCGUGAUAAGGGAACUCCGAGUGCCCGUUAAAUCGGGCUGUCCAUCAGUUUAAAAAACUGGUGAAGAAAGGGCCGGGCAAGACCGGUGCCAGCCGCCGCGGUAAUACCGGCGGCUCGAGUGGUGGCCACUAUUACUGGGCUCAAAGCGUUCGUAGCUGGUUUGUUAAGUCUCUGGGGAAAUCUUCCGGCUUAACCGGAAGGCGUCUCAGGGAUACUGGCAGACUAGGGACCGGAAGAGGUGAGGGGUACUCCAGGGGUAGGAGUGAAAUCCUGUAAUCCUUGGGGGACCACCUGUGGCGAAGGCGCCUCACCAGGACGGCUCCGACAGUGAGGGACGAAAGCUGGGUGAGCAAACCGGAUUAGAUACCCGGGUAGUCCCAGCCGUAAACGAUGUGCGUUAGGUGUAUCGGUGACCACGAGUCACCGAGGUGCCGAAGAGAAAUCGUGAAACGUACCGCCUGGGAAGUACGGUCGCAAGGCUGAAACUUAAAGGAAUUGGCGGGGGAGCACCACAACAGGUGGAGCCUGCGGUUUAAUCGGACUCAACGCCGGAAAACUCACCAGAUAAGACAGCUGAAUGAUAGUCGGGCUGAAGACUCUACUUGACUAGCUGAGAGGAGGUGCAUGGCCGUCGUCAGUUCGUACUGUGAAGCAUCCUGUUAAGUCAGGCAACGAGCGAGACCCACGCCAACAGUUGCUAGCUCGUCCCCCGGGAUGGAGAGGACACUGUUGGGACCGCCUCUGCUAAAGAGGAGGAAGGAAUGGGCAACGGUAGGUCAGCAUGCCCCGAAUUAUCUGGGCUACACGCGGGCUACAAUGGGUGGGACAAUGGGUAUCGACACCGAAAGGUGAAGGCUAUCUCCUAAACCCAUCCUUAGUUCGGAUUGUGGGCUGCAACUCGCCCACAUGAAGCUGGAAUCUGUAGUAAUCGUGUCUCAAAAUGGCAU